UUUUAAAUAUCCUCCUAGUUAGCAUUCAUUCUCUUUUCUAUGUCUUCUACUUGUUGCUUUAAUGAUGAGGCAAUUAAUAUAGCUAAAAGCAUCAAUCUUUUAGUAGCUAACAAUAUUGGAGCAUGAUUUUAAUUUAUAAUAGGUAGACUAUUACUAAGACUAAUUUAACUUUCUCUCAACUCUUAAAUAUGUGAUUUAAUUGAAAUGAAUUGAGAAAUAGACUCAUCUUCUUUUUUCCAAAGGUGCUUAUAGUUCUUGUUUAUGACAUCUAU
rnacentral:lncRNA from 1 species